GUUUUUGCACUUAUUUUUAUUUUUCUACUUUUAAAUACUUAACCUUUCAUUUUUGUCUCAAAUUUAUCUGAUGACCGAUUUUUUCUUACGCCGGCGCCGAAAAUGCCACUGUGACAGCCGAAACUGAUGAGGUGACAGCCGAAAAUUAACAUGGUGGCACUUUUGUGACAUGUGGAAAAAAUAUUUGAAAAAAAUUAAAAUAAAAAAACAUGUGGAAAAAAAGAAAAAGAAAAUCUCCCCCCACCCAUCCUCUUUUCCUCCUUCCCCCCACCCAAACCCUAAUUCCCC
rnacentral:lncRNA from 1 species